UACGUAGGGGGCUAGCGUUGUCCGGAAUCAUUGGGCGUAAAGCGCGUGUAGGCGGCCCGGUAAGUCCGCUGUGAAAGUCGGGGGCUCAACCCUCGGAAGCCGGUGGAUACUGUCGGGCUCGAGUACGGAAGAGGAGAGUGGAAUUCCUGGUGUAGCGGUGAAAUGCGCAGAUAUCAGGAAGAACACCAAUGGCGAAGGCAGCUCUCUGGGACGGUACUGACGCUGAGACGCGAAAGCGUGGGGAGCGAACAGG
rnacentral:rRNA from 1 species